GUACACCGUUAAAGGACACCUGUUAUCUGUACACGUAAUACUGAUACAGGCGUGUAGCAAUGUAGGGCAUCACACUUAUCUUUUUACUACCUGCACACUGACGUAACAAGACUAAGAUAUAUUCUGAUGCUUCCACCUCCACUAGACCAAAAAGAUGAAAAUUUAAUACAUUCUAGUGAACUGCAUUUCCUUACACUGGGUAGUUAUUACAGUAGUUAGUUAAAUGGCUCAAGUGGUAAUUAGCGAGAUGAAGUGUCACUUUCUCCUCCCAAACAGUGCCGAAGCGAGCAACUAUUCACUCAAUCCUUUUGUUAUUCACUUCACGCAAAUAUUUUACUGACGUAUUUUCUAAAAAAAAAAGGGUAAAUCCUAUUGUUAGGUAUGUUACCAGAGUUCUCUGUAUGUAGAAAACAUUAAUUCUAAAUAUAGAUUGUCGCCUAUUUUCCGCUGCGCCAUAGCGGCUAUGACAGUCUAACGGGUAGGCGGUGAUGACGUCUUCUGUCUAGUCCGUCUGGUGUGCACUGCAACCUAAUCUUAAUCAAUAGGGAGUCAUAUAGUGAUAAGUUAUGGCCAGAUUACCUAUGUGCAAAAAGCAAAACAAGACCUUAUAUGACACGUUGUGGUAGAUCAGGGGUGUCGCAUGCUAGACGUGGCAGCACCGCUAUCGUUAGUAAACAUGUCGACACAGACACAAUGGCACUGGAACCUGCUGCCUAGCGUUAUAUUGAUAGAAAUCCUCGCCUACCUCCCUUUGUCUGACAGAAUUAGUGCUUGUUCCACGUGCAAGGCGUGGCGCUCUGCUCUGUUCCACCCAAGCUUUUGGCGCAGGAUUGAGCUGGUGUUUGUGGCGGGCGAGUGGCGGCGGCUGGAGCGGUCAAGGUUUGUGGCCUCUUGGGCUGCUAGGAAACUACGGUCUUGUGUCAUUCACUUUGAGACGGUCAACACCAACUGCCUGGUGGAAGUCGAUCACGUGCUUCUCAAGAUCACUAGGAACCCACAAGUGGAAGAACUUAUACUACUCCCAAGCCACUGCCACACCUUCACCAAAGGCCAUGACCGACCUUACUACUUACGUCACAACAACAAUAACAACAAUAACAACAAAAAUAAUGCCAGUCAUCCACGGUGUCUUCCCUGUUCAAGAUCAUCCUACCAAUUCAUUGAAAGUGCCCAGGAGUCCCUGCAGAGCAUCAUCGGCAACAGCAGAAAUUUGCGCACCCUUGUUCUGGGCUGCAUCCAGGAUCUGACAGACCAGGCAGAUAUAUUUCUUCCUCUCCUGGCACAUCACCAGUUCAAUUCAAUCUCCACUCUUGGGCUGGCCUCAGUGAAGUAUGACCCAAACUCCUAUGCCCUGUUGGACAUACCACCGGACAACUUUGCCUCCUUCACAACUUUACAGGUAUUAACAUUAGAUUAUGACUACAUGAGUGACCGGCUCCUGGGUGUGCUGGCGACACCCUAUACCUGUCCCCUGCGGCGCCUGGUGCUACAUGUCCAUGGCAUUGACCAGACCCACCAGGGCACCUCAGAGUACAUGUGGUAUUGCUUCAAGCAGCAGCAUCCUCAGUGCUCACUGGUGGUUACUCUGAUGCACUCCUAUGAUGGGGUGGAACAGCUGGGAUCAGGUCUGCUGCACCCUUCCAUGCCCCUCACCCACUUCAGGGCCUUCUUCUGUGAAUGGAUCAACAUCGCAGCACUGCGUUUGAUGAGUAACUGGUACAGUGAGACAUUGCGGCACCUGAUGUGGGUGGACUCCCUGGACCACAGUGGCUGGGGAAUGCUGACUGAAGGCCGAGAUGAGGACCAAGAAACUCCAGAUCCUCUUGUCAUGCUGGCCUGGAAGUGCAAGCACCUAGAACAUCUCACAUUGUUUGGCUACGGAUAUGGUGGCAGCGACAUCGUGGCCAUUGCAAGGCUCCGAGGUCCUGGGCUGAAGAAGCUGUGGAUCCCAGAAGACUGUCUGGAGGCAGAUGAGUCCCAUGAACUAGCUAAUGAGGAGGAUGUUGACAACAUUGCUGAGGACGUUUCUGCUGGUUUGGGAAGGACUUGGCGACCACUAACACUCUCGGAGCUGCAUCCCUGUGUACGCACAGCUAACAGUUCGGAUACUGACCAGUAUAUUCUACCAAUUGUUCUCUCGGACACUAUAUUGAGUUGAGAACACAAAGAAGCCACCAAACCCUGCAAAGGGAAGUAGCCAAGGCAAGGUGCCAUGUGCACACACAUCUGUAAGUAUGAUUUUAUCUUGUAUCUUAGCCUAUGGACCUUGACAUAUAGUGGGUAGAGAACUACUGGAUGCCAACAGUAUUGUAUGAGGGUCAGCUGUCUACCAUAGAUGGCCAUGUGUCUCUCCACAUCAGGUUUUGACUAAAGAACUCUGUAGAAAAUUACAAAAGUUACAAGUCCACUCAUAAAGGAAAACCCACAAAUUGUGCUCUCUCUCUCUCUCUCUCUCUCUCUCUCUCUCUCUCUCUCUCUCUCUCUCUCUCUCUCUCUCUCUCUCUCUCUCUCUCUCUCUCUCUCUCGCAUUUUAUAGUUUGGACAUUGUAUAUUGUAUAUUCUUCACUCUUUGUACAUAUUUUGCAGAUAUCUAAUCCACAUGCCCUUUAUACUGUCAUAUAAAAGGAAAGCAUUAAAAUGUAUUAUCUAAAUAAGUAUGAAUCAAAAUGGUCAAUGCAAAAUACUAUUUAUUAAAUCAGAAUUGUUAGCCACUACAGAUGUACAUGUCAUUUCUUGUAUUGCUGUUUUUGGUGGCUUGCAAUAGACAGAUAGCUAUAGUAAUUUUAAUUUUUUUUUUCUUUCUUUCUUUCUUUUUCUCUUUCUUUCUUUACUAACCCAUAGGGUGUUGGCCAAUCACCCUUGCAACCUUACUAUAUAUCUCAUUACUUCAAAGAAAACAGAAUAAAAACUGUCCUCUAUAUUCAAUUUAAUGUAUGACUUUUUUUUUUAAGAAAUCCAAACUUUUGCAGCUAAUUGUGCCAUACAUAAAUUAAAUACACUAAAGAUACAGGUUAUAUAAGUAGAAAUGAGACAUGUAUUUUUUUAUUUUUUCAUUAUUAUUUUACACAUCACAUACUUUGAACUGGAAUAAAUCCAUUUUACUGUGGCUUCAGAUAUUCCCACUGCUUUACCUGUUUGCUCCCUUACUUGAUUUCCAGGUAGAAGUUGUCCUAGAUUUGCCUUCCCUUGUAAAAUGUGUCUAUUAAUCCUGAAAAGAAAUUCAUUAUUCUGGCUGUGAAAAACAGUGUUGCUUGAGGAAGUGUCUGAGUGUCCUUUCAUCAUGGUGACCAGGAAUAACAAAGACAAAUACAGGGCCACCAAACUAACCUGGUGCCUCCACAGAAGCUCUUGAACAAAAGCACAAAUGUUGGCCUGGACUACAUAACUCUUCCUAUACAUCCUAACUUUUCACUCAGUAAGAAGGUGCAGGUAAUGUGUGAAGCAAUUGGAAUGACCAAUGAAAAAUCUUGGGAAAGAUUCUGUAAUCCUUAACUUUUCACAAAGUACUGCACCUGCAUUCUUGUUUUUCUAUUGUAUGGUUAGGUUUCCUCUCUAUGAUAUGAACUAGCAGAACUCAAUAUGUGAUAGUAAACAAUACUGGGGACAUGCCCAUUUAUUUUGUAAGGGUCAUGGCUAUAUCUGUAGGAUAGAAUUUCAGAGGAUACCCCCAUCUAAUAUAUUUUUACUGGUAUAUAAUUUCCUUUGAGGUACUUGGGUGGCCUUUGUGUUUGCUAUAAAAUCAAUCUUCAGUUGUAUUGUCAUCUUAACAUUGGGCAGGAUGACUUGGCCUGUGUCUGUAUGCAGACCUCACUUCCUUCAGGUCUUUACCAUCAGUGAUGCCAUAUUAGGUUAUCAUCUUUUGAGGUACCUAGCUUUCUUUACAUUAUAUGAAGUAGUUUAUCUAUACACUUUUAUGUUGAUGUGUUAUACAGAUUGAUUAUCAAAGAAUUAUUCUAUUUUUCAUAUAUUGUUUGUCUAUUUCUAGAUGCUAACAUACUUCUUACAUAUGUGUCAGUUAAAGUUUUUAUUUUGCAUUAUCUUGAAUACUAUAACUAGAAUUUUCAACUAGCUACUUAACUUUACUACUUUUUAUGUAAGACCAUCUAUGGGGUACUUUGAGGCAUUUUGAUCACCUGGCUUUACCACUCUCACAAGGUGAGGCAUCUCCCCUCACCAGGUAUGUUCCCCCCCUCCCCCCCAACCAGCCACAUGCUGUGGCUACCACCACUCUUCUGGUGAAGACAGUCACCUAAGAGAUGUAUGGUGUCUUAUAUCCAAAGGUAGAUGAAAUCAUUAUAUCCCUUGAGCCACCAGGUCAGUUUUUUGUAUACUACUUUUUUUUUUUUUUUUUUUUUUCUCUCAUUCUGGAACUUAUUUUUUUAAAAGCUGUCACAUGAAUGGCCAAUGUUUUUUUCAAAAAUGGAGACAAGUACAUCCUAUCAUAAUUCCUAUUCUUAUAUAUCUGUAUCAUAUUUAGUUUUAAACUUUGUUAGGUAUGGAUUAUUGGUUUUAUUUCUAGAGAAGUCAAUUAGAGAUUUAUUUUUCCUUAUUUUGAAUUGAUAUUUUAAAAGUAUUAUUGUGAUUUGAAAUGCACAAAUAUAUUAUUUGUUUUCUAAAGUGAACCUCAGCAAGGUAAGAAGGGCUUUACCUGCAUUAGGAACUAAUGAUUCCACUACAUAAGUAAGUGGCAAUUGAUCAUCUCCAUGAUCCAUCUUGUUUCUGUGAUACUGUUCUUGCAACAUGUUAUAGCAUGUUGCAGCACUCAAUGUGAAGUAGACUAUUAAUUGUGUAAAGCACUAAGGACAUGGACCAAAAGAUUCCACACAAGCAGAACAAAACUAUUGGAAUGUUGGCAUAUCAUUUGAUUUUGUAUGAUCAUUAUAGGUUUGUAAUUAUAUCAUUAGGUGUUACAGUGUAAAAAAGUGUGUUCUUAUGGUUUUGAAUUGCUUCAGAGUAAUGCUAACACUUUUUAAAUAUAUACACUAUGCCAAUCAGAUGUUGGCUCAGUGUUUCUGUGUAAUAUUUAUUGAAUGUGAAAAUGUUGGUAUUGCUCACUAAAAUUUUAGACACAUCAAACAAAAAUAGUCAACACAUUACUUGUCACCUAUCAUCCAGCCUCUCCAGCCUCCAAAGUAAGACCAAGUUAGCUUGGGCAUGCACUCUUUCAUGCUACUGACUGUACCAAAUGUACCUUUACCAUGAGUUAUGCCACAAAGGUGCUUUAUGAGCCUUUAUAAAGUUACAAUUAUUAGCAUGUAGCUUAUAAAAUAGCAGGAAAGAGAAUUGUCUUUUUGUGUAUGCAGUAAGGUGAGCUCCUUCGUAAGUGGGGAUUGCCUCUCAUAUUUGGAAUCAAUCAGAAUCCUACAUUAGCCAAGAUCACAGCUGCAACAUUCACCUUACUUCAUAGUGACUGGACAUUGUCUGAUAUGUAAGCUGAGUCACACUUAGACAUGUCAUUAAACUGUGUGGCUGAGACCAUCUUGAGAAAUAUACUUGAGAUACAUGGGUAUCCAUGUAUAUUUCAAAAACUGGCUGAAGAAGUAACAGUUGAAAACAUCCUAGAGUGGUGUGGUAUUAUAAAGUAUGCAGGCCCUUAGCCUUUCUGAUUAGUAUCAAUAGUUUACUAUUUUCUCCCUCCUUGUGCAUGGUUUCUUCACCUUUUAUUGUUCGGAACAUCCCUGACUGGCCCUUCCCUUUCUUUCUCUUUCCAUUAUUAUAAUGUUGGCAAUAUUGAGUCAAUUUAUUCAGUCUUUUUUCUUAAAACAAGUGCUUCAAACUUCUUAAUCUAUAUUUAAUUUUUGUUUUUUUCUAUUUCUCUUCAACUCAAUGUAUAAGUAAUUAAUAGUCUGUGUUCAAUUUCCUUUAAAAUUUUCUGAUGAUCAGAUCAUACUCACCAUAACUUAUCUCUAUAUUUCCUCAUCAUUAGUAUUAAAUGCAUGUUUUUAUUUAUCAAAUUUGUUUCCUCCUUAAACAUUAUUUAUCUUUCUGGUAAUGUUAUGCACCAUCACUGAGAAUUUUGUUUUGUAAUACCUAUUUUUCACUCCCCUCAUAAUUCAGUGUGUGUGUGUGUGUGUGUGUGUGUGUGUGUGUGUGUGUGUGUGUGUAUUUACCUAUUUGUAUUUACCUAUUUGUGUAUUACAGGGCCCGAGCUAAGCUCUCUGUGUCCUGUCUCCUUGUCCAUU